AUGGCCACGUCAUGUUGAAACACAGGUUCUUAUACAAUCACCAAAGUUAAGCAAUGUUGAGCUUGCUCAGUACCUAGAUGGGUGACUGCUAGGGAAUACCAGGUGCUGUAAG